UUCAAAACAUAAAACAAUGAAACGAUUACAGACCCAAUAGGCUUAUAUGCUUCAGAUAAGGGCCAUUCUUCUUUCAUUGGACCUGUGUUCUGUUUUCUGGGUCCCCUGGCUGUUUCAAAACGCUACUUGCUUACUCAAUUGCCAAUGAAUGCUAUGCCAACUUUAUAAGUCUGAAAGGACCUGCGUUGCUGACAUUGUGGUUUGGUGAAAGUGAGGCAAAUGUGAGAGAGAUACUUGAUAAGGCUCGUCAGUCACCUCCUUCUGUACUAUUCUAUAGCAACUCAGGUCUUAACAUAUAUUUGGCUAACCUAUCAUUUCUUAUAAGAUUCAGAGGUUAUACGAUAAAUCUAAAACGACGCAACCUUUAUAAUGGUGUGGAA